rnacentral:rRNA from 1 species
ACAUCCAGAGAAUUUAGCAGAGAUGCUUUAGUGCCUUCGGGAACUCUGAGACAGGUGCUGCAUGGCUGUCGUCAGCUCGUGUUGUGAAAUGUUGGGUUAGGUCCCGNAACGAGCGCAACCCCUAUCCUUUGUUGCCAGCGAUUCGGUCGGGAACUCAAAGGAGACUGCCGGUGAUAAACCGGAGGAAGGUGGGGAUGACGUCAAGUCAUCAUGGCCCUUACGAGUAGGGCUACACACGUGCUACAAUGGCGCAUACAAAGAGAAGCGACCUCGCGAGAGCAAGCGGACCUCAUAAAGUGCGUCGUAGUCCGGAUUGGAGUCUGCAACUCGACUCCAUGAAGUCGGAAUCGCUAGUAAUCGUAGAUCAGAAUGCUACGGUGAAUACGUUCCCGGGCCUUGUACACACCGCCCGUCACACCAUGGGAGUGGGUUGCAAAAGAAGUAGAUAGCUUAACCUUCGGGAGGGCGUUUACCACUUUGUGAUUCAUGACUGGGGUGAAGUCGUAACAAGGUAAGCGUACGUGU